GGGGACAUCGGAACGCGAAAGGAUUUAGUAUAUCGGUUUUAUGUUUUGCUUUUGAAUCCGCGAACUCUCAUUGCACCAACAGGUACGAGUGUCUGCGUUUUGAGAAAAUUAUUGGCUCUUCUUAUCUUUUGUUUGGCUGUUGAGAAAAUUGUGGAAAGAAAUUUGAUUUUAAAUGCCUAUUUUUGAUUGGUCUAUAAAUAAAUCUUAUCCUUUUUUAUAUACAUUUUUCAUGUGUGAUUUUGAAGAAAUAACUAAAUUGCUUUCGGAUUUUAAACUGCAAAUGUUUGCCGAAAAAGUUUGUGUGAAAAAAGUAAACUUUGAAACUGGUUGUUCUGCAUGACCUUCUAUGAGAAUCAAAGACAAUAAUGUUCUGCUAUUCAUGAUUUGAGAGAUGUCGUCACAAGAAGUGUUAUAGGACUAUUAUUCUGUAAUUAUUUCUUUAAAUCAACCAAAUGAAGGUUAAGACUUUUUCUCAUUCAAUUUCAGUACUUUGGACAAUUUAAAAGCUCCUUUUUGAAGCCGAAGCAUAUAAUUAGAGUGGAAAAGAAGAAGGUUCAUGUCGCCAAGAUCAGACAUGGGAAAGGGAAACAAAGCUAAACAAACAAGAAGAAUAAAGAAGUAAAAGGUUCAAGACAACUUUCAGAUUUAUCUGUUAAACUUUAGGUAUCAUGAGGAGGUAAAGUGAUGCAAAAAUUCCAGGAACCUCUGCUGCAUAUAUAUUCAGUAUGUGAUAUCAAUGUUCAUCAUUUUCAACGUGAAACUUUUAUUUUUAACUCUUGAAUUAUAGCUCAAAUACUUUGUAAUGUCUAUGUGAUAUUUAAAAUGUACAAAUUAACCAAGGAUACAGGUGCAACGCACGUGUCCAGAAACUAGUUAUUGGAAUUGCAC
rnacentral:lncRNA from 1 species